UCAUGAUAAACAGGACUGGUUAACUAUAUUCCUGAAGUUAUAGAAUGAGGGGGUUCACAUAAGGUUGUAAAUAGAAGUGAGCGCAACAAUUGCAUAUGAAUAAGGUUUUGUUCUAAUUUUCUUUCAUCUUUUUGUGUUUUUUUUCCUUUUUUCCUUUCUACAAGUUUUAGGAAGUAUUCUACAGCACGUAACAGUACAGAGAAAAAUGAACAAGAAACUGGCAGAAGCUCAAGAAUUGUAGUAGGUACUAUGUUACAACUUGCAACCAUCAACAUCAAUGAAGCAGCUCAGCUUAUUCAGUCCAAGGGGUUAAGGAACCAGAUGAAAGCUUAUAAAAGGCCUUUUAAUCCUCAUCGUUGAUGUCUACAUCUUACUUAAUAAUUAUAUUUUCUCAAGAAUACACUAAAGUUUACUGAGUAAACCAUAGUGCUUCAACUCAAGAUUAUACUUAUAGUCAAAUCUUCUCCUCCACUUCUCUGAGAAAUGGGUCCAAAAUGGAAAAAACAAGGGAGGGAAAGUAGGAGAGAAAUCAUAUGGAAAUGUUUUUCAUUCGUUUCUUGAUAAUAUGAAAGCGAAAGGAAAGUACAAAAGAAAUUAGAAAAGAAAAGAAAGGAAAGUAACACAUAAAAGAAAGUCACUUUCCACUUCUAUUUCUUUGAUAUUUCUUCCUUUUCUCUUUCCAACCUAGGAAUCAAACAAGCAGGAGAGAGAAUUUUUAUUUUGUCCAAACAAAACCUUUGCUUUUAAUUUCCUGGAUCCACGUCAUAGAGGGAAGAAAAGAUUAAGGGGUGAAGACGCAAAAGUCAGGCCAAUAGACAUGAAAAAGUUUGAAUAAACUUGCACAAAGCCAUUAAGGAAUGAAGAUAUGUUCAUAUAACAAUUUGAGGAUAUAGCACAAAAGCCACAUACCUUCGAUUUCCUUUUCAGUUCAGCCCAUCUGAUUGCCCUGGUGCAGAGUUGCUCCACCCUUUUAUGAAGAGCGUUUCACUUGCCUGUUCUGGGAUCCCUCCCGGCGAAAACAAUGGGCUCCAUGCCACCAUCAAGUUCAGGGAGAGCAACUUGUAAAGCCACCUGAAUUGGGUGCAACCCCAAAGUGCUAUUCAACCACUCCUCUGUGGUCUGAAACACCAAAGGCAAUGCAACAAUGUAAGGCACAUCAAGCUUCAUCAACGCCUCGAUAGCCUUUGGAUGGUCCUGCCUAGCCGGGCCCCCAACAAGCGCAAAACCAGUAAGUGAAAUCACUGAGUUCACAAACGGCUUUUUGGUGAUCGGGUUGAUGAAAAACUUCUCAACAGGCCCGGAAAAAUCAAGCCCACCAGCAAAAAUUGGUAUGACUUUUGCCCCCUUUGCCUCCAAUUCCAUAAUCACAGCCACAUAGUGACUCUCAUCCCCAGUGACAAUAUGACUCCUUUGUAGAAUCAAUCCAAUUAUAGGUGCAUUUGGACCCUUUAGCUUCUCAUUGGCAUCCCUUCUCGUUCCAUACCAAUUCAAGUACUCCUUCACAUCAUCAUACAUACAAGGGGCCAAAGGGUGCCAAAUCCCAGUAUCCAAGUACAGAACCGGGUCCGAAUACUCGAUUUUCAUCCCUUUCAAAGCAGGAACAUAGGACCCAGAAACCAUUUUCAAGAAAUUCACCAAAUUAUCAGGUGACCCACCAAGCCAAAACUGCAGACUAAGAAUAUAAAGCCUAGCAUCUUGAGCCUUGUCGCUUGGCAAGUACUUCAAGACCUUAGGCAAUGUCCUAACAAGCUUCAACAUACUAUCAGCAAACCCUGCUGAUUGCUUCUUCCUCUUGAAUAAUUGGAAAAAGGGACUCUUUGACUGCCCCAAUUGGGCCAUACUAAAUGAGCCCAAUUUGUUGAGUCUCAUCACCUCAGGCAUUGAAGGGAACACAAGGACCGCAUCAAGCCUGUCCCUUUCUUUCUCGACUGCAGUUUUUAUCUUUAAAGCAAGCUCCUCAACAAAGAUCAACGAGCCUAUGAAUAUAUUAGCAUCCUCAAGGUCUUUGCAGAAAGUCUUGUAUGCAUUCACAUCCCUAAGCUCUUCAACUAAGUAACCCACAACCUCAAAAGAGGCAAAUUUGCCAUUCUUGUUGAGGGUUUGGACCGCAGCGGAUAGGGACGAUUGGUAUUGGGCUUCUAGGACCACGUAGACCACCUUGACUGUGGGGAGAUUGUGAAUAUUUUCGGGCACGAUUCGACGGACUUCUUGGGUUGUUUGGGUGAAGAGGCCAUUGCCAACUGCAGCACAUUUCAUCAGCCUCAGGGGUGAUUUGGGGGUGUUUUGGUUGGUCUUUUUGGGGAGGAAAGAGUGGAGAAAGUAAUGCUUUUGGGAAAUUGAGCAUAGUUGGUCUACUUUUGAGGUGGGUAACGUGAAUGGUGAAGAAACAAGAGAAGCCAUUGUGCAGGCUUUGUAAUUCAAGAAAGAAACUCACUCCCUGUUUCUUGAUUACAGAGAGAGAGAGAGAGAGAGAGAGAGAAAACUAUGUGAAUUUGUACCUUUCUCUCUGUACUGCUUGUGAUUUAGUGUUGUUUCUUCUUUCUUCUUCCUCCUCUUAUUUUUGGAGAAAUGAGAGGUUGUGACUUGUGAGUUUAUAUUUUUUAGUGGAGAGUAGCAAUGAAGGUAUUUGAGAAUUGA